rnacentral:lncRNA from 1 species
CGUAAUAUUUUCUAUUUUGAGAGAAGCCUCUAGUGAACACUAUGGCCCCCGGGUCUACUUCACACCAUAUUUUCAGCCUUACACUUUUUCUUUGUUGCACUUUCCGCCUUCACAUCUCACUUUGCAAUCAAUAUUGAAGGGAUUGACAACCCCUUUAUAGCGUUGGGUGCAAGCUCUUUUGUGUUUGUGCACGUACUCUGGACUUGAUGAGAUUCUCCUACUGGAUUGAUACCUUGGUUCUCAAACUGAUGGAAAUACUUACUGCUCCUGUGUUGCAUCGCUCUUUCCUCUUCAAGGGAAAAACCAACGCAAGCUCAAGAGACGAGAGAAGAUUUCUGUCGUCGUAGCAGAAGAAUUUUUGACGCCGUUGUCGGGGAGGAUCAAGUCAAGAACUCAUCCAAGUAAGUGUCGCAAACUCAUCUCUUGCAUUUACCUUUUUUGUCUCUCGUUUUCCUCUCCCCCACU